rnacentral:rRNA from 1 species
GACGAACGCUGGCGGCGUGCCUAAUACAUGCAAGUAGGACGCAGUUGCGAACGGGUGAGUAACGCGUCGGUAAAUUCCUAUUAGAGGGGGGUAACUAUUGGAAACGAUAGCUAAUACCGCAUACUAGUAAAUGGACCUGCGUUGUAUUAGGUAGUAGGUAGGGUAAUGGCCUACCUAGGCGACGCUACAUAGCCGAGCUGAGAGGGUGAUCGGCCACACUGGGACUGAGACACGGCCCAGACGCCUACGGGAGGCAGCAGUAGGGAAUCUUCGGCAAUGGGGGGAAACCUGACCGAGCAACGCCGCGUGAGUGAAGAAGGUUUUCGGAUCGUAAAGCUCUGUUGUUAAGGAAGCGGUACUUAACCAGAAAGGGACGGCUAACUACGUGCCAGCAGCCGCGGUAAUAC